AUGGGGUCCCCCGUCGCACACAAUUUGAUGGGUGGAAACGUUUGUGUCUCAGCCCAUAUCACAAAUGAUUGUACAAGCACAAUCGUGUGGGAUGGGUUCCUCAGUUGCACAUGCUUUGAUGGGCGAAAAACUUUUGUGUCUCGGCCCCAUACCACGAAUGAUUGUAGAAGAAAAAUCGUGUGGGAUGGGCUCCUCCAUCAAUUUCGUGCUCGAGCGAGAGGUCCGCGACCUCGAUGUCGUCCGUGGUCUGCCGGAGCGAGAGGCAGACAUGGGCGACGUAGAGCGGCAGCACGAAGGAGGAGAGCACAAAGUUGA
rnacentral:rRNA from 1 species